AGACAAACGCUGGGAUUCUUGAGAUCCUUGAGGAAAGUCCAUGCUCUCACAGUCUGCGAUGACUGUAGUGUUCGUGCCUAGGAAAAAAAUAACCUAGGGUAGUUUUUUCUAACGGCGGAGAAGAACCUAAGUUUUUAAUAUGGUUCUAUCCAUAAAGUGCCACAGAGACGAAUUCUUUGGAAACGAAGAGGUGAAACGUGGUAAACCCCGCGAGAGAGAAAUCCAAAUUUGGUAGGAGAGCUCUAACGAAGGAAGCAAACGGAGUUAGGGACCGGGCAACUGGUAGAUAAAUGUUUGUCACCUAGAAAUAGGAACAGAACAUGGCUUAUU
rnacentral:RNase_P_RNA from 1 species